UGCAUAUCAAAUAAGCGGAGGAAAAGAAACCAACAGGGAUUGCCUCAGUAACGGCGAGUGAAGCGGCAAAAGCUCAAAUUUGAAAUCUGGUACCUUUGGUGCCCGAGUUGUAAUUUGAAGAUAGUUUUCUGGUGCUGGCCCUUGUCUAUGUUCCUUGGAACAGGACGUCACAGAGGGUGAGAAUCCCGUCUGGCGGGGUGUCCAGUGCUUUGUAGAUUUCUAUCGACGAGUCGAGUUGUUUGGGAAUGCAGCUCUAAGUGGGUGGUAAAUUCCAUCUAAAGCUAAAUAUUGGCGAGAGACCGAUAGCGAACAAGUACAGUGAUGGAAAGAUGAAAAGAACUUUGAAAAGAGAGUGAAAAAGUACGUGAAAUUGUUGAAAGGGAAGGGUAUUAGAUCAGACUUGGUGUUUUGUGAUUAUCUUCCCUUCUUGGGUUGUGCACUCGCAUUUCACUGGGCCAGCAUCGGUUCGGGUGGUAAGAUAAUGACAUUGGAACGUGGCACUGCCUUCGGGUGGUGUGUUAUAGCCCUUGUUGAUGUUGCCUACCUGGACCGAGGACUGCGGCUUUUGCCUAGGAUGCUGGCGUAAUGAUCUAACACCGCCCGUCUUGA
rnacentral:rRNA from 1 species